AUCCAGCUGACGAGUCCCAAAUAUGACAAAACGCACGUCCUGGAU
rnacentral:hammerhead_ribozyme from 1 species